CCUACGGGAGGCAGCAGUGAGGAAUAUUGGUCAAUGGACGAGAGUCUGAACCAGCCAAGUAGCGUGAAGGAUGACUGCCCUAUGGGUUGUAAACUUCUUUUAUAUGGGAAUAAAACGUUCCACGUGUGGGAUUUUGUAUGUACCAUAUGAAUAAGGAUCGGCUAACUCCGUGCCAGCAGCCGCGGUAAUACGGAGGAUCCGAGCGUUAUCCGGAUUUAUUGGGUUUAAAGGGAGCGUAGGUGGAUUGUUAAGUCAGUUGUGAAAGGUUGCGGCUCAACCGUAAAAUUGCAGUUGAAACUGGCAGUCUUGAGUACAGUAGAGGUGGGCGGAAUUCGUGGUGUAGCGGUGAAAUGCUUAGAUAUCACGAAGAACUCCGAUUGCGAAGGCAGCUCACUGGACUGCAACUGACACUGAGGCUCGAAAGUGUGGGUAUCAAACAGGAUUAGAUACCCCAGUAGUC
rnacentral:rRNA from 1 species